AAGUCGUAACAAGGUUUCCGUCGGUGAACCUGCGGAAGGAUCAUUAACACGUAUCCAAACGUUAACGGAAAGUUGUAGUGAUUCAGAGACCUCUGGCUACGUGCGAACAUUGGAACAGUUACAAUCGAGGUUCUAUAGGCAAUGUUUCCCCAAGCAGUCAGUGUCGGAAAGUGUCAUUGAUUGUGCAAGCGGGCAGGAGCUUUGCCAAAGGGUCCCCAUGCCCCCUAAUAACCCCACAGUUUAAUGUGAAGCUCAACGUAACACAUUGGGUAAAAAAACCGAACAACUGUUAACAAUGGAUAUCUUGGUUCUC
rnacentral:misc_RNA from 1 species